rnacentral:rRNA from 1 species
UAGGGAAUAUUGCUCAAUGGGGGAAACCCUGAAGCAGCAACGCCGCGUGGAGGAUGAAGGUUUUAGGAUUGUAAACUGCUUUUGUACGAGGGUAAAUUCAGGUACGUGUAUCUGUUUGAAAGUAUCGUACGAAUAAGGAUCGGCUAACUCCGUGCCAGCAGCCGCGGUAAUACGGAGGGUGCAAGCGUUACUCGGAAUCACUGGGCGUAAAGAGCGCGUAGGCGGGAGAGUAAGUCAGAUGUGAAAUCCUGUAGCUUAACUACAGAACUGCAUUUGAAACUACUUUUCUAGAGUAUGGGAGAGGUAGGUGGAAUUCUUGGUGUAGGGGUAAAAUCCGUAGAGAUCAAGAGGAAUACUCAUUGCGAAGGCGACCUGCUGGAACAUUACUGACGCUGAUGCGCGAAAGCGUGGGGAGCAAACAGG